UAAAACCACUGUAUGUCAAGUCAGACAAAAGUAAAAUUUUAAAACCCACAAAUUAUGUCCUGAGAAGCAUAACGUGAUUCCUAUAGAACUUAUGUCAGAGAGCGGGGGUGGCAAUUUCAACUCAUUUCAACUUUAUGUUCAUUAGCAAAAUAUAAUACAAAUUGAGAUACAAGAGAAAAGAAAAAAUAAUAAAGUUUGAGAAAAAAAAAAGAGAGAAGAAAAAUAGAAAAAAAAAAAAAAGAAGAGGAAUAACAAAAACAAAAAGAUUGAUGCUCCAUUCCAUCUGGACAGUUAGGAAUUACCUCAGAUUCCAAAAGAGACCUUACUCUAGUGAUGCAAUUUGUAGAAGUAUAGCAUUGCAUAUACAUAUGAAAGGAAAUUAUGUAAAUAAAUGGCACAAACAGUCACAAAAGUUAAAUUCUUAUCCUUGAUGAAUGUGUAACUAGCUAGGAUAUUUGUGUAUAUGAGUAAUAGUAGAAUGUGAGAGGUAAUUGGUCAACAAUUACCUGAUUUUAUAAUGUUAAAUUUGGUGUAAUGAAAAGUCUGUUUACCAAAAAGGAUUGAGAAAAAACAAAAAAUGAGAAGAAAAAUAUAAAAAUAAAGUUUGAGUUUUUUUUUUUUUUUUUAAAAAAGAAAGAAAAAUGAGAAGACAAAAAUAAAAAAAAAAGAAAAAAUUGAGACUGAUGAAUUAAAGAAUAAAAAAGAGAAAUAAAAAAACAGUGUUUGCGAAAAAAAAAAUAAAGGUUGAGAAAAAUGAAUUAAAAUAAGACCAAAAAAAUGAGAAAAGAAAAAAUAAAAAUUAAGAAAAGAGU
rnacentral:lncRNA from 1 species